CAUUUUAUUUUUCACUUUUCGAUCCUCACGGAUUAUUUUGGCCCGGGGCGUUGGCCUCGAAACGAGCUUUCCGGAAAGUACUCACGGGCCCCGGGAGUCCAUCGGGGUCGAAAGUUAGGCACGCGAACGUAUGGACGCGCGAAUUAUGUUUACGGAGCAAAUUUCAUUUUUCGUAACUCGUGGUAUGUAAGCAGUAAUCGGUUAAUUAAGUCGGGCUCGGGAAAUUGGGUUAAUUGAGUCGCUUAAAAAGCCGGAAGUUGAACAAUCUAGACUUCACGCGAGAAGCGAAAUUGAGUCGCUUAAAAGCCGGAAGUUGAACAAUGUAAGAGAAAUCGAGUCGCUUCAAGUAAAUUUGCAAUGCAUAACAUGAC
rnacentral:misc_RNA from 1 species